rnacentral:rRNA from 1 species
GACGAAGGGGGCUAGCGUUGUUCGGAUUUACUGGGCGUAAAGCGCGUGUAGGCGGCUUGGCAAGUCGGAUGUGAAAGCCCACGGCUCAACCGUGGAAGCGCAUCCGAAACUGCUUCGCUCGAGUCUCGGAGAGGAAGGUGGAAUGCUUGGUGUAGAGGUGAAAUUCGUAGAUAUCAAGCAGAACACCUGCGGCGAAGGCGGCCUUCUGGACGAUGACUGACGCUGAGACGCGAAAGCGUGGGGAGCAAACAGG